UGAAAUGUUAACUUAUAUUUUAAACAGUUUUUUUUAACAACCCUCAUCUAAAUAUCAUUCUUACGACUAAUUUUCACUUGUAGUUUUUGGCAUUUACAUUACAUGUUGUAAUUAAAGAUCGUAUCAAAUAUAUUCUGGUUGUAUGAAAUCAGGUCCAACUGUUAUAUCUCAAAAAAAUUCAAGGAAAUCGUAGUAUAAUUUCAAUAGGUUGAAUGGCCUCUCAUUUUAUUUCAUCUCGAACAAUUAAUUUU